rnacentral:rRNA from 1 species
UGGGGAAUUUUGGACAAUGGGCGAAAGCCUGAUCCAGCAAUGCCGCGUGUGUGAAGAAGGCCUUCGGGUUGUAAAGCACUUUUGUCCGGAAAGAAAUCCUUGGCUCUAAUACAGUCGGGGGAUGACGGUACCGGAAGAAUAAGCACCGGCUAACUACGUGCCAGCAGCCGCGGUAAUACGUAGGGUGCAAGCGUUAAUCGGAAUUACUGGGCGUAAAGCGUGCGCAGGCGGUUUGCUAAGACCGAUGUGAAAUCCCCGGGCUCAACCUGGGAACUGCAUUGGUGACUGGCAGGCUAGAGUAUGGCAGAGGGGGGUAGAUUCCACGUGUAGCAGUGAAAUGCGUAGAGAUGUGGAGGAAUACCGAUGGCGAAGGCAGCCCCCUGGGCCAAUACUGACGCUCAUGCACGAAAGCGUGGGGAGCAAACAGGAUUAGAUACCCUGGUAGUCCACGCCCUAAACGAUGUCAACUAGUUGUUGGGGAUUCAUUUCCUUAGUAACGUAGCUAACGCGUGAAGUUGACCGCCUGGGGAGUACGGUCGCAAGAUUAAAACUCAAAUGAA